rnacentral:rRNA from 1 species
UACGUAGGUGGCAAGCGUUAUCCGGAAUUAUUGGGCGUAAAGAGCGCGCAGGUGGUUAAUUAAGUCUGAUGUGAAAGCCCACGGCUUAACCGUGGAGGGUCAUUGGAAACUGGUUGACUUGAGUGCAGAAGAGGGAAGUGGAAUUCCAUGUGUAGCGGUGAAAUGCGUAGAGAUAUGGAGGAACACCAGUGGCGAAGGCGGCUUCCUAGUCUGCAACUGACACUGAGGCGCGAAAGCGUGGGGAGCAAACAGG